ACAAAAACUAGAAGUCCAUUCCUUAUAUGAGUUGUGGACCUAUGUUUAGCCAUAGCGAAAGCCUUCAAGAAGGUUUUGAAGUGUCGGAAACUUCAUGUAACUGUACAUCUAUGUUUCUUUCCUCAUGAAGGGGAGGCCCCAGACUGCAAUAACAAAGGGAUACUUCAAGAAACAUGUUCUUGGCUUUGCUUUCCACUCUUCAGGAUUUGUUCUCCUCUCCUUUUAUAUCACCUUUUAUAUUUGGAAAAUUGGGUAAAGCUUCCAACUUUCCUCUUCUCACCUCCAUUUUUCAGUAUCUCAAGGAUAUGUUAAUUGCUAGAAAAUCCAAAUUGAAUUUUUUUAAUAAAAAAAGAGGAAAAAACUUUUUAUUAUUUGGUUUUCAGUGGUGGGAAGUAAAACGUGUACUUGGGGUUUGGUAUCAGACAGUCACAAUGUCAUGCACUGCCAAUGGUUUAUUUGAAUUAAAACACAGCAUGAUUCCACUGCUGAGCUUUUAUUGGAAGCCCUCGUAUAAAACGAGUCGUAUAAUGGGAAAAUAAAAGCAUAUACACAGGCAAGAAGCAUUAUACCUCAGAGAACUUGCAGGCCUCGUCGAAGGUCUCCUGGCUGAGGAGCCGGACAGCGGCAAUGUCGUAGGUUCGGAGAACGGGGUUCCCAGGGAGGAGGGAGGCGGCGGCGGACUUGGCGCUGAUGGAGACGGUGAGGCGGGAGUACUGGCGGAAGUGGGCGGAGAGGCGGACGCCGACUAGGUCGCGGUGGAAGGCGACGCCCAAGGCGAGGACGGGGUCCGCCGGGGACGGAAGAGAGGGAGAAAGGGAGAGAUCUUGCAGCGGUCGGCCUGGGACAUGACCUAGCGGUCGUAGGCGACGGCGGUGUACCGAGCUCCAUGGCCUUCACCACCGCCUUCCGCCGCACAGCCCGUCGGGCCUUGUUUUCCGGCACGUCGGCUAGGUCACUCUCGAGGUAGGGGACGCUGAGGUCGAAGAAGAGGACCAUCGUCGGUGGCGAUCGUCGGCGACGGAGAGGGCUUUUAUUGGAUCUUUUUAGACAGCGCAAGGGCGCGACGGCCAACAUACUUAGCCCACCAGCCAAAGAAUUUAAUUCGAGUACAACCUUUUUCUCAAAUUGAACUCCGUUUCCCCAGCCACUGCCUUUCGUUUUACCGGGUCGGUAUCCGAAUCCUAGACCCUUUUUAGAAUGCCAGGGCCGUUGCCUUUCUCCGGCGACAACUUUCCGCCGAGUCGCCGGAGGAGAACCCAUCCCUCCGCCCUUCUCUCCACCGCUCUCCUGCUCGAAACCUCUCUGCUCUCUGGGCGUCACCCUUCUCUCGUUUGUCCCCCACUCGAUCGAUAUGAAGAGGCCGAGAUGUGUUCUUCUUCCCGGGAUCUCGAUUUCUCGUCUCCUCCUCAUUUCUUGCGUCUUCCUGUGCUCUGUUCCCGGCAAAGCAAACCAAUUCUCUUAUUUUUCUUGAAAACAAUUGUUUGUAAAUAUUUUGCAUGGGUUUCCCUCUUAUUUAAAGACAGAAAAGAGGGCAAACUGAUUGCAUGCAUAUGAAGAAGCCUUGUUGGUCGCAUUGUCUUGAGAAAAGUUGGGAGAUUUCACAGGUUCUAAUUCAUAUGGUGAGAGAGAGGAAGAGAAAGGAUAGAGGUUGGAGACUAUGCUAAAGUCUAGUUGAAUUUUAGAUAUGAUUUGCAGGAGUUGUAGAAAUAAUUAAGAAAAUAAGAGUUGGCAGCCAGUUUGGAUAAUAAUGGUAGGAGGAUAAGUUUUGUUUGGGAUAGGUGUGAAAUUAUUAUUGUUCAUUAGUUUUUUUUCCUAAAAAAAACUUAAAUAUGAGCUUGAGGGUGUUUCCUAGGUUUGUUUUUUAAAUUCUUUUUCGUUUUCUUCAUGCUAUGGCAAUGGUUGAUUUUUGCCCCCAAUUGCAAUUAUAUUAUAUUCAGUUCAUUGAAAAUUAAUGUAAGAAAUUGAAGCAAUGUGUCAAGAAAUGAAGCUCAGAUAAACUUUUUUGGAAUAUGCUUUUCUGGUAGUCAAAGCAUAAGAUGUAUGCAGGUUGACUGACAGUGCUUGAUUGUCGCAUGGGUAGUUUCUUUUCCUAUAGAAAUUUGUGGCUUGCUACAUCAACUAUGAACAUUAUGGAAGUUACAUCCAAUCCAAAAGAGAGAGGGCUUAAGGAAUACUAGAAAACAUUUGGAUAUUGAGCUAUAAAGGAGUUUGUGGUAGUUGAUAGAAUAGACAGAAUAAUUCUGUGCAAAUGGAAAAGGAUAUUUUCUUUUUUUUAUAGCAUAUGUGUGUGUUGAUUUAUCGAAAGGUUAAUAUUUGUAAGCACAAUGAAGAUAUUUGUGUGAUUUGAUGUCUUGCAAGAAAAUGCUCUCAAGUUGUCAACUUUAUAUUGUAUUGGUUUCUAUGAUUAUGGGAAUAUGGGGUGAAGGUUUUGGAGCUUUUAGAUUGGGGCAUAUCUUUUUGCUCAAAGUUGUUGCAGAACUUCUAUUUUUCAGGAGGUUUUUCAUCAAAGGCAGUUACACUUAGGUCAAUCCAAUUUUUUAAUAUUCAUGAAUUUCUGGCUCGCAAUCCAACAAUUUAUUUUGACUGUAAAGGAGAGAGCAAGAUAAUAUUGCCAGAUGUGAAGGAGAAACACUUUUUCUACACUUUCAAGGGCAAAGAGUCUUGGCAGGGUAUAUUAUUCUUUCAUUGCAUAGAUAAGUCAAAAUCCAUUAUGUUGCAUAGUUAUUUAUUAUGUUCUUUUUUGUCGUCCACACUUACUAGUUUCUCUUGGUCUAGUGCGAACAAACUUAGAUAAAUUAUAUUAGCACAAAAUACAUAAACAACAAUCAUUCUCCCAUCUGUUCAUGGGUAGCGUUAAUAACUGUGCUUCACCUUAGGAAAUAUUAUCCUACCAUGUCACUUGCUAUAUACCUUGUUUGGCUUUGAGAGAAGUUUUUACUAAAUUUGCAAGCAAGAAUUACUUCAUAUUUGGUCAAUUUAAAUUACAGCAAUCAAAGAAAAUUUUAAUUAUAUGAUUGGUCCCCAUGGUACUCCUAUGCUUAAGAAUCAUAGCUGUUGGAAGCUUGAUCUGAGUUAUAACCAGAAUACACCUUCUUUUGAGUGCUUAUAACUAAGGGGGGAAUGAUUUGGUGAUGUGUGAUAAUAAGGUUAUUGUUUUCUGAAUCUACUCAUGUCCUCGUCAUACAGUGAGCCAGUGUUCUACUGCUAUGAUAACAUAAACUCACACUCAAGAAUUUUUCUAGAAGUUUGCCAAUGGACUUGGUUCCUGCCAUUAAUCAUUAAAAAAUUUUAAAAAAAAUUAAAAGUUCAUGAGUUUUGCCCUUUUUAAAAUGUUAAUGACUGAAUUCUGUUCUUUUCAAUUCAGCAUUUAUCUGGAAUUUUUCGUAUCACCUAAAGCUAAAUAUUGUUAAAAUGAAAAAUUUUGAAAGAUAUUACCUUCAGCAGAGUCAACAUGCCCAUCUGGCUGUUGUGCUUCUGUGGGGAAUAAAGAGCCUUGUAUUUGUUCUUCUUACUAUAAGUUGCGGUAGGUUAUGGUAUGUUCAUUCAGCAGCCAUAAUCAUUGUCAUGUUCCCAUUUAAGAGGAUAGAAUUCUUAUAAAGAUGCGAUGGGGCCUAUAAAAAUGUUCAUUUGAGCUGUAUGCUUUUCUUGUUAUAGCAGCAAAAAAAAAUAAUUUCCCACUUGCCUCCAACUGUGAUUGAAAAUUGAAUUUCUCCUCUAAUUCGUUAUUUAAUAGUAAAGUCUGGAUAUAAUUUAUUUUUAGAUCACACUUUUUUCAGUUUAAAAGGUUUACUUUAUUUCGUAGCUAAUUUCGUCGAUUUAGAAUAACAUUUUCAUGAAUAACUGAUGCUUUUAAUGUUUUUGUUACUGGCAUGAAGAAUAAAUAGAAAUCCAUCUAUGUUUAUCUUAGUAUGCCUCUCAUUAAUAAACUCGACAUAAUGUCUUCAAUCGUUUACAGGUUUUAACAGUGGUAUACAAAUCUGGACAUCAUGCUGGUAACAAUGGUGAUCUUAAGCUUUCAGAAAAUUUUCUAUUCUAAAGAGCAUAAAACAUCCAUAAUGUCCUCUCUGUCAUCUAAGGACACUCAUUUUAAGCAAUUAGGUUGAAACUCAAUUUUUUCGUGGCUGAGCAUGGAACUGGAAUUUUGGGUAUUUAUAGUUUAGAAAGUAGAUUUAUUAUUGUCUAAAUUAUAACGCGGCAUCAUGAUUUAAGCACCGGCUUAAAGAAAGAUAUUGACAAAUCACCAAUAUAUAUCACUUCUAUACUAAAUUGCAUAUGGAUAUUUGUAAUCUGAUGAAGGCAUGGGCAUGCUUGAAUGUUUUGCUGAAAUUUGAGUGGGAUCAUAGAUUUAUUACCUCCACUAUUUAACCUAUAGAAAGGCAUAUAAUUAUCUUUCUGUUGGUUCCAAAUGUAUACGAUCGUAGACAAUCUUUAAGAAAGGAAAUAACUUUGAAAUACCAUUAUCUUUUAAUUAGUUCCAUCAUUAUACUAAAGAUGCUCUUUGGAAAAGGAUAACAUCUGAUGAAGAUCAAGACAUCCUUCUUCAAGAUCACACUCUCUUUUCUAUCUCUGGCUUAUCUUCAGAAGCAUUGACAGCAGCAUUUUUUUUUUUUUUUGGAGAAAUAGGAGGGCUAAAACGCCCACCUCCAUUUUAUUGAAAUGGUGAAAGAAUAUACAAAGUUUACAUUGAAAUUCUGGGGAAGACAGUAUGGAACUGAUAAUAGAUAUAUUAUUUAUUUAUUUGCCUGUCGGUUGGGAAGUUCAGGGGAGCUAGUUUGCCUCUGACUCAAUCAAUAGUUGCUGCGGCAUCUUGGGUGGUGGUGUUAAAAUUUCUGUUAUUACUCUCUUUCCAUAUAUGCCAGAUGUGUGCCAUAUCUAGAUUGUCUCAUUCUUGCUGAAUAGAGAGAUGCAAGUCAUUUGUCCAAGUCGAUCAGAGGGACUUGAGUUUGGCUGGUGCAGGCUUGCUAAUAUUUAAGCAAGCAAGAAAAUGUUGCCAAACUUGGGUCGUAAAAUUGCAAGAUAAGAAUAGAUGGUCAUUAGAUUCUGGAGCAGACUGACAAAGCACACAGUUUGAACUUUUGACUUGUUUUUGCUUUGAACUGUUGUCUUUCAUCAGCACCACCAUGCUGGCGAUUAUGAAAGUUUGCAGCAAUCACUCUCUUAAGCAAAAAAUUACAACCUAUCGCAGAUGUUAAGGCACUUCAACAAAUUCAUCCUCUCCUGUCUGCAAGUCCUAAUAGCAACCAAGGACAUUCUUAUGUCUGUUUUUGCCUAAGACCUCUACUUACUGAGGUCUCUGACAGAGCUUACAGAUAAUAAGUGCAAGCGCUGUGGUCUGUAUGAGAUGGACAGUAUAAAAACUGAUGAUGUUUUUGAUGAGUGGGAGCUGUGUCUUGAUGAUUUUAUUGAUGGGAAAUCUAUACAUUUUAAGGAGGAGUUCAAUGCCACAUUCAUAUGCAAGGAGUGUAGAGCUGCUGCUGGUGCAAAUCUCUCUCUCUCUCACACACACACACACGACUUUGUAUCUACUUUGAUGUUUUUGCCCCAACGAUUUGGUUCACUGUUGUUCCAGUUGUAGAUCCUGGUAAUUACUUCUAGCUCAAAUAGUGGAUCUGUUGACAACAAAAUGAAUGUGGUUCUAGUGAUGGUUAUCAGUGCAUUGGUCUCUGUUAUAGCUGCUGCUGGAACAGUUGGUGCAUACAGAUACUGGCAGAAGAGGAAGAGGGAGCAAGACCGGGCUCGAUUUCUAAAGCUUUUCGAAGACGGAGAUGACAUCGAAGAUGAAGUUGGUCUGGAGAAGAUAUAACAACACACUGUGGCAGAGCUUGAUUUUGAUCGACAGUAUACCAUACAGAGAGUGUCAUACCAAUUUCUGAUGGAUGUUCAACAGAGAUAAGAAAACAGUGUCUGGAUCACACACCAAGGGAACUUACGGAGUGGACAAGUACGAUGCUCUUUAGAAGAAUCCUUGUAUUCUUGAUAUUAUAUGCCAACAUAGUUUUGAUGGUGUAUAUUGUUAUUUAGUUGAUCUAACAAUUGUGAGUUGAAGUAUUUUCUUAGUUUUGAUGGUUCUCGGACCAUGCUGCUCGAGAGCAGCCACUCUUGUAUUACUGCUUAAUCCAAGUGUCCAAAACAUUUUCUCUUUCUUA